rnacentral:rRNA from 1 species
ACAAGGUUCUCCGUUGGUGAACCAGCGGAGGGAUCAUU